rnacentral:ncRNA from 1 species
AGAUAGAGGCGCAAAGCUCAUCAGUAGUCCGGGACAUACAGGCUGGCAAGCCGUCCCGCCGAAAGGGUGCUUUGCCGAAGCGGCGAACGGGUUGCCAACCGUCCGGCGCUGGGGCCGUGCAGAAUAUGCACGGGACUGUCACAGCUUGUGGAGAGCUAUC